rnacentral:lncRNA from 1 species
UGCGGUUCCUCUCGCUAGGGCAGGGAGGAGCUGGGCCUUGGGCCUGGCAACUCCCUCUUUGCUAGCUCUUGGCCUUUUUCCUUUAAAAAAAACAGAAAACUCCAACAAAAAUGAAAAAGGGUUUUUAACCAAAUAGAAAAAUGCUUUUAGCUCCCUUUUAAAAAAUAUACCCCAACUAUAAAAUAGCUUGGGCAUUUAAAACAAAUAAAAUGAAUCCUUUCUUUAAGAAUAAAAUAAUACCCUUUCUUUUUAAAUAAUAAACAAACCCCCUUUUUUUAAAUAAACGAG